GGAUUAGACAGCUGACAGGCUAGUUCCAAAACAAAUGCAUUCAACUUUCACCCGGUGAGUUUCGUAAUGAAGUGGGCGGGAAUAGCGGAAGUCGUUGUACGUUCUGCUCAGCUUCUGCAUCAGUUCUGCAUGCUUGGGGAGGUCAUCGUGCAGUUUUUGCCCAUAUUUGUUUUUGCCAAAUAUCCCCGGAAUACGAUUUUGACGGAGAACUGUUUAUAAUUCAAGUCAAGUCGUGACUCUUAUCUGCCAUGAAGCAACAUAAACUGUCUGCCGUAAAGCGCCUUACAAAACCAAUUUUAUUUGGAACAUUAAUCGUUGGACUGGCCACUGCCUUUUUUAACAGGCACAGAUUUUUUGAAGACCUAGAAGAGAUCCGUGCUCAGGAGCGCGCUAAGAAUAACGCCAGGCUGACAGAGGUGCUGGAGAUGAGAAAGAGGCAGAUGGAGGAACUAGCUGAGCAGAAGUCACGAUAACAAACAACAUCCAUUUGAUGGAGCACUGAGAGUUGUACUAUACAUCUUGUAGUAUAAAAAUCUGUGAGGAAUAAAAUGGCGGGAAUGCAGAGAAUGUCCAGAUAGCAUUGUUGAUGUGAUGGUUUUAUUUUUUAUAUUUCAUCAAAUUAUCUGUUCAGUUAAAGGUCCAUGAAAAUGUUUUCUUGUCCAAAAAAGAACUAAAGAAAGUAUGUAGUGGGUAACGCUUAUGGUUUGAUAAGAGCACAAUAUCAAAUUAUUUUUGUCACAUGAUAAUAAUCAGAUACAACUGUGAAUAACCCUAUACUGUGUAGUCACAGGAUUUAAAUUGUUUUGCUUUACUAUCAGAAUAUCCUACUGUUGGCUGUACCCACCAUGAGAGGACAUUUUAGUGUAUGAACAUCAUUUUGUCAUUGAAUACCAUUUAAGUACUUCAAAGGUUUUUGUUGUCUUGCCAUAUUGUGUGGUCUUAAAAGCUAUGUAUGACUGAUGAAAAAUGUGGAUAAUUUAGCCAAAGUAUGUGGACAAUGAAAGUUGGUUGGAAGGACUUCCUUGGCUGGAGGCUUUUUAAAAUAAUUUUACGCUGCCAGUAUAUUUCAACCAUAAUGAUGGAGAGAGGUCUUAUCUCUGUAUCUGAGCCAUUAUAACAUCUGUUCCAUCCCUGACAGGAUCAUUAAGGGAAUUUCCAAGUUGAAGUACUCACUUUCAGUACAAUAUAUUAACCAACCUGUCUUGAUUAAAGUGGUGAUCACACAACCAUCUGAAUCAUUUGGAGGGAUUAGCCAGUGAAGAUGGAAGUCCCUCCCAGUUGACAACAUAAACAUAUAGCGUAAUGUCUUCACUAGCAGUGCCCAUUCUAUAACAAGUCCUCAAACAAUGCCAAGGAUUAACCAAUUUAAUCUGAAAUCCAUGUCUGUUAUUGGUGCAUUCCACUGACAAAAUGAAUAAAAGACGUCAUGGCCA